rnacentral:tRNA from 3 species
AGGCGCGUAGCUCAGUUGGUUAGAGCGCUUGCUCGACACGCAAGAGGUCAGCGGUUCAAAUCCGCUCGUGCCUACCA